CCUAGCUCCACCUGCCUCCUCCUUCUUCCUUCAUCCCAGACAUACUAUACAUGAUGAAACUAAUGGCAAUCCGGUUGUCAGUAGUCAGUAUGUAGAGGCAAUGAUUUUUUAGAAGUGGAUGUGGCCUCAUAUGACAGGCAUCAAGUCAUUGGGACAAAGCGGUAAGGUUCAUCAUGGUGAUUUGUUGGAGUAUUCUUCAAUAAGGAUCGUGAAUGUUUACAGUGCAGAAAAAUAUGUGUUGGAAUGUUGAUGAAAUCAAAUAAUAGACCAAUUUUUUUGGUGGAGAUUCUUCUGUCUCAAAUUCUCAAUGUUGAGAUAGUUUGCCUCAGCAAGGCCGUAGGGGCGGUUUCUUUUCCUGCUCUGUGUUGGUUGCAAUGUGCAUGCAAGGAUUGGUCAUCAAUUUGGGAACACCUCAAUUCUGACAUGUACCAAUUUAGUACCAUUCAUGGUGGAGCCAUUCAGGUGAAUGAUCCAGUUAUCCAGGCAAGUACUAUUAUGCAUCUAGCAUUGACCUUAGUUUUUUUUUUCUAUUCAGUAUAAUCACUCGUCAUGUUUGGAACCAUUUGGUUGUAUUUGUCAAUGAAGUUUGAAUAUACAGGGUAGUUUGUGGGUA